rnacentral:lncRNA from 1 species
GCCUGGUAUUCAUAUGAUGAAGACAUAAUCUUUCAAUCAGUUUAAUUUAGGUCUGGAGCUGGCAUGUCAGUAAGUGUAGUCUGUUGCAUUGUUAUUUAUGUAUUAUUGUCAUUUUGUUUAUUUUCUUUUGUUUCCUAUUCUGACAUCGGACUCGGACUUCUCUUUAACUGAGUUUUACUGUGCGAUCUGUUGUGCGUUUGUUUUUUCUACAUUGCCUAGAGGUAUUGGGGGAGGGUUGAGAUCUAAAAAAACAUGUUUCACCCCGCCGCAUUUUUGCACCUGUCCCAAGUCAGGAGCCUCUGGCCUUUGUUUGUCUUGUAUCAUUUGUAAUCUUAGUUUCUUGUGUAUAAUUUGAAGUUUAGUAUGAAAUCUAUU